GUGUUUGCACAUAUACCAAAAUUGAAAUGAUACUGAGAUUAGCAAUGGCCCCUAAGAAAGGAUGACACGCAAAUUCAUGAAGCAUUCCAUAUUUUA
rnacentral:snRNA from 1 species